GACGAACGCUGGCGGCGUGCUUAACACAUGCAAGUCGAACGGAAAGGCCUGCUUUCCCUUGUGGAUUGCGGGUACUCGAGUGGCGAACGGGUGAGUAACACGUGAGUGAUCUGCCCCCAACUUGGGUAUAAGCCUGGGAAACUGGGUCUAAUUCCCGAUAGGACUGCAGGGUGGUGCCUGUGGUGGAAAACGAUUUUCUAGUGGUUGGGGAUGAGCUCGCGGCCUAUCAGCUUGUUGGUGGGGUAAUGGCCUACCAAGGCGGCGACGGGUAGCCGGCCUGGGAGGGUGGCCGGCCACAUUGGGACUGCGAUCCGGCCCAGACUCCUACGGGAGGCAGCAGUGGGGAAUAUUGCACAAUGGGCGGAAGCCUGACGCAGCGACGCCGCGUGGGGGAUGUCGGCCUUCGGGUUGUAAACUCCUUUCGACCGCGAGGAAGCCACCUGGUUGGAAGGGUGGUGACGGUAGUGGUAGAAGAAGCACCGGCUAACUACGUG
rnacentral:rRNA from 1 species